UUGGGGAAAUACCAUUAAAAGAAAAGUUGGAUUUAGUCUAACAUAAGAACAAAUACUAGUGUAUAGUACACCUGUUGGCUCUUUUUAUCCUCCUACAUGGGGGAAAAUCCAUUGCCUUUGAACAGCUAAUUUAAUUUUACUUUUAAAGCCAGUUUUUUUAUUUGUUAACAGCAAGUAGAAAAAUAUAGGAGAUAUAAUCAUGAGAAUUUAUUGAGGUGAAAAGGGACACCUUAGUGCAGAGUUUAAUUAUUGAUGGGGGUUACUAAUAAAACCAGCGAAAGCUAUGUUCUUUUGAGAGCCAUAUUUGAAUGUAUUCUGGCACUCUGGAGCUUAAUGAUGAUUGCCUUUUUGAUUGCUCAAAGCAACGUGAAAAAUGCAUUUCACCGGCUCUGAAAGCUCUUGAG